rnacentral:lncRNA from 1 species
AUGAGGUCAUGGGGUAGAGUCCCCAAGAAUGUGAUUAGUGCCCUUAGAGACCCCAUAAAGCUGUUUCUUCCAUGUGUAGACACAGUGAGAAGAUGGCGGUCUAUGAAGGAGGAAAAGGCCCUCGGAGGAGGAAGAAGGGCUUCAUCAGACACCACAUCUUCCCAUGCCUUUAUCUUGGACUUCCUGGACUCCAGAACUCCCCAGAUCCCAUCUAUGAAUCUUACUUCCACCCUCUUGGUCCUUCAGCUGCUGUAG